GGGGACUUAGCUCAUUUGGUAGAGCACCGGCCUUGCAAGCCGGCGGCGGCGGGUUCGAGCCCCGCAGUCUCCA
rnacentral:tRNA from 1 species